rnacentral:rRNA from 1 species
AGUGAACGCUGGCGGUAGGCCUAACACAUGCAAGUCGAACGGCAGCACAGUAAGAGCUUGCUCUUACGGGUGGCGAGUGGCGGACGGGUGAGGAAUACAUCGGAAUCUACUUUUUCGUGGGGGAUAACGUAGGGAAACUUACGCUAAUACCGCAUACGACAUACGGGUGAAAGCAGGGGAUCUUCGGACCUUGCGCGAUUGAAUGAGCCGAUGUCGGAUUAGCUAGUUGGCGGGGUAAAGGCCCACCAAGGCGACGAUCCGUAGCUGGUCUGAGAGGAUGAUCAGCCACACUGGAACUGAGACACGGUCCAGACUCCUACGGGAGGCAGCAGUGGGGAAUAUUGGACAAUGGGCGCAAGCCUGAUUCAGCCAUACCGCGUGGGUGAAGAAGGCCUUCGGGUUGUAAAGCCCUUUUGUUGGGAAAGAAAAGCAGCAGGUUAAUACCCCGCUGUUCUGACGGUACCCAAAGAAUAAGCACCGGCUAACUUCGUG